GUGUCAGCCGCCGCGGUAAUACGGAGGAUCCAAGCGUUAUCCGGAAUCAUUGGGUUUAAAGGGUCCGUAGGCGGUCUUGUAAGUCAGUGGUGAAAGCCCAUCGCUCAACGGUGGAACGGCCAUUGAUACUGCUGGACUUGAAUUACUGGGAAGCAACUAGAAUAUGUAGUGUAGCGGUGAAAUGCUUAGAGAUUACAUGGAAUACCAAUUGCGAAGGCAGGUUGCUACCAGUGGAUUGACGCUGAUGGACGAAAGCGUGGGUAGCGAACAGGAUUAGAUACCCUCGUAGUCC
rnacentral:rRNA from 1 species